rnacentral:lncRNA from 1 species
AAAAAAGGCAGCCAUCAUGUGCUUUUGAAUUCUGGUUCAUUUUCAGAUCUUUUCUGUCAUGGUUGGUUCAGUUUCAGUGUCCUAUAUAUCAUUCUGGUUUUCACUGUUUUCAAUCAUUGGAUCGAAAUUUCUCAUGAUGAUUCUCAAGAUCUCAUGUGUCCGUCUAUAUAUAUAGGAUCUGUUUUAGGGUUUUCAUGGACAAUGUGUUAGACUUUUAACCGCUAUAUGCAUGAUAGCUCUUCUUUCCUUCAUAUCUGUUUACAAAUAGAACAAAGCAAAAUGACUAAAAACUUAAAGGGAAAUUUUCUUUUCAAUUCUCCAUAGCACACAGAUUAAUUACUGUAAGAUCAUCUCCAUUGAUUUUCAAAAUGUUCUUCUAUUUGUGUGCGGGUGCAUUCGUGUUACAGAACUUCAUGUCGUGUGGAUCUCCACUGCCUCAGCUUUACCAAUUAUUCAAUUAUUGUUCUUUUUCGUCCCUUUAAUUUCUCUUUUCAUCAUUUUCAGCAAUAAAUUCCUUGUGAGUGGAAGACAUUGAUGUAUAAGGAUAGUAAGUUGAAGCAUAUAGUGUGACAAAAUAUUCUGUAGAAUAGAUUCUAUUUUAUUGCUAUCUUUUCUUUCUUUAUAAAAGGAGACGUCUUUCUGCUGUCUUUUGAAAAUCUUUCGAAUCUCUCUUUAUCUUAUCUUAUACUAAAUAUAUCCCCUUGCCUCAUGUUAUCAAAUUAAUUCUAAUUAAGUUUAACUUAAUAACAAAUGAUUCUUUUUUUUUUUCGGCAAAGAAUAACAAAUGAUUCUUAGUUAAGCAUUUAGGUUAAUCAAAUCUUAUUAUAACAAUUAUCUUCCAGGAUAUAUCCUAGUUAUUUUCUAUAAUUCCAUUUAUUUGUAUUAUUGUGUAUGGUAAUGUAUUAAAAAAAUAUGGUGUAUAU